rnacentral:rRNA from 1 species
AACGAACGCUGGCGGCAGGCCUAACACAUGCAAGUCGAACGCACCGCAAGGUGAGUGGCGCACGGGUGAGUAACACGUGGGAAUGUACCCUUUGGUUCGGAAUAACGUUUGGAAACGAACGCUAAUACCGGAUGAGCCCUGCGGGGGAAAGCUUUAUCGCCAAGGAGCAGCCCGCGUCUGAUUAGCUAGUUGGUGGGGUAAAGGCCUACCAAGGCGACGAUCAGUAGCUGGUCUGAGAGGAUGAUCAGCCACACUGGGACUGAGACACGGCCCAGACUCCUACGGGAGGCAGCAGUGGGGAAUAUUGGACAAUGGGCGCAAGCCUGAUCCAGCCAUGCCGCGUGAGUGAUGAAGGCCUCGGUUGUAAGACUCUUUCGUCACGCGACGAUGAUGACGGUAGCGUGAGAAGAAGACCCGGCUAACUUCGUGCCAGCAGCCGCGGUAAU